GAAGCCAGGGUCAUAAGUUCUAUAAUCAUAAGAGGUGAAUGCUGCCCACUAUCAGAGGCAGCUUGGAAGUGGAUUAUUCCCCAGUCUAGCCUCCAGAUGGGAGCACAGCCCAGCCAACACAUUCAUUGCGCUCUGUAAGGUCCUAACCAUAAGUCCUAGGAUGGGAAAAUGAGGUAGUGGUUGGCCUGGUUGAUACAGCAAAUCAAUGGGAGAGGAGGAAUUUGAAGAGCCUGUAGAGGUAACAGUUUGCCACUUCCCUGUCUACACCCAAGGGAGCGUGUUUCUGACCCACUGGAAACAGCUCAGCUACCUCUCCACCUAGGAGUCUGAGCAAGACAGUCUCCAUAGAUAAGCCCUCUCCUCCUCAUCGAGGAAGUUGUGGAGAUUCCUAAACUCAGACUGGAUUUCUUGUCUCCGAAGCUCUAUGUUCUUCUAGAAUCAAGGAAGUGGGCAGAAAAGGGGGAAACAAACCAAACAUACGUCUAUGGUUCCACUGAUAGGAGUUUAACUUGGAACUUUAAAAACUCAUCGAGGGGCCUCCUCUGGUGGCACAGGCGGUUGAGUGCUGUGCUGUAAGCUGUCCCAGCCUCUGCAGCACUGGUUCGAUUCCAGCCCACAGGCGAGGGUCCCACAUGGCAAGCAGACCACUCCUGAGGUGCCCGCUGCUCCCCUCAGCAGUGUAUUUUGUCAGUCUGCUGUUCUGUUCCCCACUCUGUCUCUAGUGAAUCCUCUCACUCUCCCAUGCCUUUGGCCUGUACCCCAGUUCUUGUAUAAGUGAAUAAAUAAAUCUUAAAAACAACAAAAA